UUUAGUUUUCAAAGAGAUUCCCCAUACACGCAAACCGUAUCAUCGAGGGACAAGAGAGGGCUAGAAUAUGAGGCAAGUUCUUGGUCCAUUUAGAGGAAGUAAAAGUCGUAACAAGGUCUCCGUUGGUGAACCAGCGGAGGGAUCAUUGCUGGAACGCGCCCCAGGCGCACCCAGAAACCCUUUGUGAACUUAUACCUUACUGUUGCCUCGGCGCAUGCCGGCCCCCCUGGGGGCCCCUCUCCCGGAGGAGCAGGCACGCCGGCGGCCAACCUAACUCUUGUUUUUACACUGAAACUCUGAGAAUAAAACAUAAAUGAAUCAAAACUUUCAACAACGGAUCUCUUGGUUCUGGCAUCGAUGAAGAACGCAGCGAAAUGCGAUAAGUAAUGUGAAUUGCAGAAUUCAGUGAAUCAUCGAAUCUUUGAACGCACAUUGCGCCCUCUGGUAUUCCGGAGGGCAUGCCUGUUCGAGCGUCAUUUCAACCCUCAAGCCUGGCUUGGUGAUGGGGCACUGCUUUUACCCAAAAGCAGGCCCUGAAAUUCAGUGGCGAGCUCGCCAGGACCCCGAGCGCAGUAGUUAAACCCUCGCUCUGGAAGGCCCUGGCGGUGCCCUGCCGUUAAACCCCCAACUUCUGAAAAUUGACCUCGGAUCAGGUAGCUGCCCAUCAC
rnacentral:rRNA from 1 species